rnacentral:rRNA from 1 species
GAUGAACGCUGGCGGUGUGCUUAACACAUGCAAGUCGAACGAUGAAGCCCAGCUUGCUGGGUGGUUUAGUGGCGAACGGGUGAGUAACACGUGAGUAACCUGCCCUUAACUCUGGGAUAAGCCUGGGAAACUGGGUCUAUUACCGGAUAGGAGCGUCCACCGCAUGGUGGGUGUUGGAGAGAUUUAUCGGUUUUGGAUGGACUCGCGGCCUAUCAGCUUGUUGGUGAGGUCAUGGCUCACCAAGGCGACGACGGGUAGCCGGCCUGAGAGGGUGACCGGCCACACUGGGACUGAGACACGGCCCAGACUCCUACGGGAGGCAGCAGUGGGGAAUAUUGCACAAUGGGCGCAAGCCUGAUGCAGCGACGCCGCGUGAGGGAUGACGGCCUUCGGGUUGUAAACCUCUUUCAGUAGGGAAGAAGCGAAAGUGACGGUACCUGCAGAAGAAGCACCGGCUAACUACGUG